CACACACUAGACAAAUGAGAGGAAGAAGACAAAGAGAGAUAGAUCUGGAUUCAAAAUGAAUGGUUGGGAUGGAAAGAUCUGAAUUAAUUUGAAUUGGAUGGCUGAGAUGCAAGAGAGCUUCCAAUGUGAUAGUGACACUCCUAACAGCCAUCUCUCUUCUCUCCAACAUGUUAUUUUAAUCUCCACUUGUCCAGCCUCUCUCUCCAAAGGUCAGAACCUAAUUUGAAUUUAAAUUUGCCUCUCAAGUUGAAGUUGCACGAAUUUCACUCUUAGGCACUCAAGUCUGGCACUCAAGUCUGGCAGCUUACUUCUCAAGUUUGGCAACUUAAUUCUCAAGUCUAGCAGUUUAAUUUUGCUUCAUGUCAACACUCCUCCUCAAGCUUAACCAUAGGAGAUCCUUGGGCAAGCUUGGAACUGAGAGUACUUGCCUCAUUAAAAACCUAAGCAUAGAAAACCCUUUGGGAUAAAACCACACUUAGGAAAAGAGUACAAGCCUCUUAGCCUAGGGAUUGGCCAGUGAGUUUAUGAGCCUUAUGAUGAUGUUGAGGGACUCAUAAACUCUGGAUCAUGGCCUUACUUCAAUGGCAAGCAGACUCCAAUGCCUUCCUUGCUUCACACUUAAAACAACCUUUGAGCUUCUUCUUAUGACCAGAGCUUGUCUCCCCCUUUCUUCUAGCUUCUUGCUUCCAUUUAGGGUUGAAUCCAAGCCUGCCUUUUCUCAUGAGCUCAAUAGGUACCUUGUAACAUUUCUGGAAUGCUGGUGAGGAGUACUGAACACUUGAAUCCUUCACACCAGCUGCUGCUCAACCAGUCUGUGCUUGUCACUCUUGAAGCUUUCAACAUGUAGGGGGACGUUGCAACUCCAUGAUCUGCCACCAUCAUGUGAUUGCUCAGCCAAGAAAAUCUCUAGUUGAAUACUCCUUGUGUCCUUGCAUAUAUCUGGCCAGAUUGUAAAUCACCAUUUGCUGGCUUCCUUAAACUUCAUCAACCAGGUACAAGCACACAAGCUAUGGGCUGAUUCAAAACUUUCCAACUGAAGGUAUCUUUUCUAACUCCAUAUAGUAGUUGAUCCAUAGCUUCCCAACCAGAAGGUAUUGUUCCAACUGAAGGUAACUGCUCUAACUCUACAUAGUAGCUGAUCCAUAGCUUAUAUAGUAGUUGAUCCAUAGCUUCCCAACCAGAAGGUAACUGUUCUAACUCCACGCCUUAGGCUGAUCCAUAGCAUUCCACUCAGCUCCACCUGAUUUUCUUGUCAAGUAGUCUAUGAUGGCCAUCUGUUCUAAUACCAAGUUGUUGCUGUCCAUGUUGAUGUUUCUUGCUGUCCAUGUUGAUGUUUCUUUGUAGUGGGUUCUAGAUGGCUGGUGAACUCCACUUCAACUCCACUUCUGAUCUCUGGUGAGCCAAUGGACGACUUGAACCUUCAGAAAUGAUGCUCACCAUUACCCCUCCUCAAGCUUGAUCCGGAGAGUAUAAGUGAAGGACCAAGCUUGGAAAGUGAGCAAUACUGAACCUGAACCAGGAGCACAACAGUACAAACACCUGCGCUUAAGCCAACUGAUCCACCCUUGGUCUAUGCUCCAAUGCCUUUAGAGGUAACUGAGGCAACAGAUGACUUGGACCUUCAGGAUUGCUCACCAUUACCCCUCUUUAAGCUUGAUCCGGAGAAAAUGAGUGAAGGACCAAGCUUGGAAGUGAGCAACAUUGAGUCUUGAAACCAGGAGCGCAUCAUCCUAACAGCUGCGCUUAAGCUAACCGGUUCCUCCCUUGAUCUCUUCUCCCCUGCCUCUUGUAAGUCUUUUGAACCAGGAGCUCAACAACCAAACGUUCUACGCUUAAGUCAACCGGUUCUUGCAAUUCAUGAGGAGAUUCAGCCUGGUGGAUGGCUGAUCAAACACUAGUCUGCCUCUCCAUCAAUACUCCUUCCUGAAGUAUCUUCAAAGCUCAUCCAUAUUCUAUCUCAGCCACGACUUAUUACCAUCUGGACUCCUCACACAAACAAUCUCUCCAUGGUCAGGAAUAUACACACUGUGUACGCUCUGAACAGCAUGGGCAAAGUCUUAGUCUUUGUCUUGAUUUGAUGAUGGACAGAGAACAACACUUGUGUAUCUAAAACAUCACUCAAACUCCAGCAAGAAUCAGACCACACACACUAGGAUCAGACCUUGGUAACUCACCAAUCCUGAUCCCAAUGUUUUAAGAAAAUGCAAUAGAUAGAGUCUAAACAACUCAUUCAGUUCAAAUCCAUGCAAACUAUUCACUAAAUGCUCAUGUAUGAUAACUCAUCAAUUACAAUGCAUUUAGGCUAUUUUUAAUGACCAUUUAAGUAACAACAUGAUUAAUUAAAUGUCAAAACAUGGACUAGAUAACUCAUCUAAUCAUCCCAAGUAGUUCAUGAAUGCAUCACAGGACCAGAAACAACAUAUGGAUGCAAACAAGACUAGAAACAACAUAUAGAUGCAUUACAAGACCAGGAAACUCUCCUAGACUUCUAGCAAUGCAACAAGACACAAAACAGGUUCUAGACAACUCGCCUAGACCUUACACAACUCAAACAAUUGACCUAAAACAAUAACUAGUCAUAACCAUGCUGGUAAACUCAGAAAUAAUUUAAAAACAGAAUCAACAAACACAACUUAAGUAUCUUGAGACAUGAACUAGGUUCAACAACUAUAGCAACUUGAACAUGUCCCAAGUAUACUAAACACACCACACCACUCAACACAACCAGAACCAUUUUCCCAAACUCAUAUCAAAAAGGAGAGGUUUAACUUACAACCAAGGAACCUGAGCUUGUUCCUUGAACCUCCAAUACACAUGGGUCAUGACAAUUUGUUGGAUCUGAGAUGUUGAGUUGAACUUCAACUCCUUCUCUUUAAGUACAUGACCUCCUUCUUGUAUCCAUCACACCAAAGUCUCCUCCUUUCUUCAUGCUUGAGAGUUGCCACCUUCUUGGAAGCUCUCUUCUUGGAUAGAGAAAGAGAACCACUUGUACAAGGUAGUUUUGAACCUUUGCUAGACAAACUACUCCAUAAACUUUUGCUUUCAAGUGGUUUUGGUUGAGCAUGAUGAGGGUUCUUGAGGCUUAGAGACUUGUAUACACCUUGCCUUAGAGCUGGUUGUGGGUUCUUCCUUCUUGGAAAACCUUUGGACCGCUGGACAAAAGGUUGUACCAGACUCAGAUGAAGAUGAACUGAGAAUGAAUUAGAUUUACGGAAGCUUUUGUGAGGUUCAGGAGUUUAAAGCUCUGAUACCAUGUAAGAAAAGAUGAUUAAUAUGAGAGUAAAAGACAAUGAGGAACAGAGUAAACAGAGAAAUAAGUGAUGAAGAGUAAAUUAAGUUGAGAAUAAGAGAGUCGAGUAUCAAGAGAUUAUAGAGAUUGACAGUAACCAAGAGGGAAGAGAAUGGUGAAGAAGAAAGGGGAACUCCCCUCUUUCAGUUUAGAUUAUAAUUGAUUACAAUGAGCGCUCUUUAUAGCCAACACACACUAGACAAAUGAGAGGAAAAAGACAAAGAGAGAUCGAUCUGGAUUCAAAAUAAAAGGUUGGGAUGGGAGGAUCUGAAUUAAUUUGAAUUGGAUGGCUGAGAUGCAGGAGAGCUUCCAAUGUGAUAGUGACAGCUCCUAACAGCCAUCUCUCUUCUCUCCAACAUGUUAUUUUAAUCCCCACUUGUCCAGCCUCUCUCUCCAAAGGUCAGAACCUAAUUUGAAUUUAAAUUUGCCUCUCAAGUUGAAGUUGCACGAAUUUCACUCUUAGGCACUCAAAUCUGACACUCAAGUCUCAAGUCUGGCACUCAA
rnacentral:lncRNA from 1 species